rnacentral:lncRNA from 1 species
UAAGUCUGGCUAAGGGUUUAUCAAUUUUGUUGAUCUUUUCAAUGAACCAGCUUUUAGCUUCAUUGAUCUUUUCUAUGGUUUUCUUCAUUUCUAUAUCAUUUAUUUCUGCUUUGAUCUUUAUGCUUUCUUUCCUUCUGCUAACUUUAGGUUUUAUUUGUUCUUCUUUCUCUAGUUGCUUCAGAAGUAAAUUUAGGUUGUUUGAGAUUUUUCUUGUUUCCUGAGGUAGGCUUGUAUUGCUGUAAAAUUCCCUCUUAGAACUGCUUUUGGUGCAUUCCAUAGGUUUUGGAUUAUUGUGACUUUGUUGUCAUUUGCUUCUGAGUAUUUUUUAAUUUCCUCUUUGAUUUCUCAGUGAUCCAUUGAUUAGUAGAUGUUAUUUAGUCUCCAUGUGUUUGUGGGUUUUUUGCAAUUUUUUUUCUUGUUGAUUUUUUGUAUUAUAGCCUUGUGGUUAGAAGAGAUGCUUGACAUGAUUUUAAUUUUCUUAAAUUUACUGAGGCUUGAUUUGUGGCCCAGAAUGUGAUCUAUCCUAGAGAAUGUUUCAUAUGCAGUUAAGAAAAAUGUGUGUUCUAAUGCUUUUGAAUGGAAUAUUCUAUAAAUGUCUAUUAAUUCUAUCUGGUCUAAUGCAUCAUUUAAGGCCUGUGUUUCCUUAUUGAUUUUCUGUGUGGAUGAUCUGUCCAUUGCUAUAAGUGGAAUGUUAAAGUCCCCUGCUAUUAUUGUCUAUUAUUGAUUUCUCCUUUUAAGGCUGUUAGCAGUUGCCUUGUAUAUUGAAGUGAUCCUAUGUUGGAUGCAUAUAUAUUUACAAUUUUAAUAUCUUAUUGGAUUGAUCUUUUGAUCAUUGUGUAAUACCCUUCUUUGUAUUAAGACAUUCUUUUUUUUAAGGUCUAUUUUUUUUUUCUGAUAGGAGCAUUGCUACUCCAGCUUCCUUUUGAUUUUGUUUGCAUGGAUUACUUUCUUCCAUCCUCUCACUUUCAAUUUGUAUGUGUCCCUAGAACUGAAAUGGGUCUCUCAGUGACAGAAUAUAUAUGGGUCUUGUGUUUGUAUCCAUUCAGCCAGUCUAUGUCUUUUGAUUGGGGAAUUUAGUCCAUUUACAUUUAAGGUAAUUAUUAAUAUGUAUGUUCUUAUUGCCAUUUUAGUAAUUGUUUUGGAUUUGUCUUUUUUCUUCCCUUCUUCUCUUGUUGUCUUCUCUUAUGGUUUGAUGACCAUCAUUAAUGUUGUGUUUGGAUUGCUUUUUCUUAUUUGUGUGUGUAUCUAUUGUAGAUUUUUGGUUCACAGUUACCAUGAAGUUUUGAUACAGGAGUCUAUAUGUAUACAAAAUUGUUUUAAGUUGUUGUCCUCUUAAUUGCAAUUGCAUCUCCAGUAUCCUGCAUUUGUACUCUCCUCCUCAUGAUUUCUGGUUUUGGUAGCAUAUUUAUGUGUGGAUGAUUUCCUACCUUUACUAUAUGUAUGCCUUUACUGGUGAGCCUUGUCAUUUGUAAUAUUUUUGUUUCUGGUUGUGGCCCUUUUUUUUUUUUUUUCCACCUAGAGAAAUUCCUUUAGUAUUUCUUGUAAAACUGGUUUAGUGGUGCUGAAUUCUCUUAGCUUUUGUUUAUCUGUGAAGCUUUUGAUUUCUCCUUCAAAUCUGAAUGAGAGCCUUGCUGGGUAAAGUAAUCUUGUUUGGAGGUUUUUUCCCUUUCAUCACAUGAAGUAUAUCAUGCCACUUCCUUCUGGCCUGCAGACGAGUGAUUCCUUUCCCAUGUUGUGGAAGUUUUUGGCUAUUAUCUCUUCAAAUAUUUUCUCUGGUCCUUUCUCUUUUUCUUCUCCUUCUGGCAC